rnacentral:tRNA from 1 species
GGCCCCAUCGUCUAGAGGUUUAGGACGGCGGAUUCUCAUUCCGUAAACCGGGGUUCGAUUCCCCGUGGGGUCA